CGGGAAGUAGCUCAGCUUGGUAGAGCACUUGCUUCGGGAGUAAGGGGUCGUCGGUUCAAAUCCGGUCUUCCCGA
rfam:Enterococcus asini ATCC 700915 genomic scaffold acvKe-supercont1.3, whole genome shotgun sequence.